CUCACUAUGGAAAUGGUGGCUGGCUGGAUGUGCUGGGUGGAGAGACCUGUGAAUGAAUAUCUCCCAGUGAUGAGUGAGUGGACAAUAAAAACUGAGCCCAUAGUUUUAGAGGAAAAUGGAAACAGAAGCACAUGGAACCUCAACACUGACAAGGGCAAAGCUCAGACUUAAUCCUUCAUGCUAAGGUUGUGCCAUCCACACACAGCAGGCAGCCAACCCGUGGUUCAGCUCUGUGGAACACUACCUGGUGAUGGAUGUGUGUUUGGGUGCCAGGAAUGGUUCUGCCCUGAGCCUGAGGCAAGCUCAGAGCUUUGCAGUGCUUCCUUGAGCUUGAUCUGUGCUGCAAAGGCAUUAGGCCUGAAUCUCACAACUGCCCAACAGCAAUCAAUUGCUCUUAAUUACUUUCACUCCCGGAGCCAAGUGAGAGAGGAGCCAAGUUCUGAAGAAGAGAGAUCCUUAUUCAGUGCCUUAUUUCCAAAGGAGAGAAGCAAUGCAGAGAGAACGGGAAAUCUGCCAGCAAAAGGAGACACCUGAAAGAGGAAAAGAUAAAUAUUUAGCCACCGAGAUCUGUUAAAGUACAAAACAUCAUCUAUAAUUCAGAUUCAAAAUUACUUUAUUUAAAUAAUAUCACAACUGUACUACAAAUAGUCCUCCUAUGCUGUCAAGUUACAAGGUAAAUGUGAGACACGUACCUCAGUCUUAACUUACUUCCUCUCCCCUGAAAGUGGGGCUGUCACUGGAACUCUUUUUUGAACUGUUACUAUAUUUGUACUUUUUUCAUGCUAUAGUUAGAUCUUUAUCACAACUCCAAGGUUGAACAGUGGAAAAAUUGGACAAAAUAUUACUCCAGAAUGAUUAAUCCAUUGGAGACCUUGAUCCAAAUUUUGUGCAGAAGGGCUGAGCAUUGAGCAUCCAAUGAAAGGUGGCAGAGAGAAGUUCCCAUGGCCCCCCAGCAGAGGCAGUGCAUGCUGUGCUUGUGGAGGCUUUGCCAAGGGGAGCUUCACAUCAACCAUGCCUAAAGCUUUCAAAUCUAUCCAGCCUGUCCAUGCCAGCAUCACCACCUGGUACCAGGGAAUGGAGCAACCCCCAGGUUUUACAGACCUUUGUUGCUACAACAGGACUUGGGAAUAACUGGCUCAGGGGCAAUUUGAUUCCUUAUGAAUAACAUAGGGAAAAGUCAUGGGAAGAGCUGGAACUCAACUUCUCAUCCUCUGGCUUCCUACAGAGACUCAGUGACCUGUCAGCUAGCAAUUCAUCAGAAGUUUAGACAGGGAAAAGUCAUCCAGGAAUGUUGUCCUCUGAGAAGAGGAAAGAGGGAAAUUCGAGAGCACAGGAAAGCAGCCCAUGUGGAAUGAACAAGGAAAUGAGACUACAGAGAGAAGGGAGGUCCAGAGAGGCUUUUGAAAGAGUCUUCAUUCCUGUAGAGGAUUGCAUAAUAUAGUAUUUGUUUUUACAUAAAACAGAGUAAAUAAUUUUGCAGUACUGACAAAUCUCUCACUCUCUCUCAACUGUUCUCCAUCUUUUGUUGUUCUGAUUAUUAUUAUGGUUCAGAUAUCACAGAGAAUCACUUUCCUUUUUUCCUUCUUAGGAAUGAAAUAACUACUUUUUCAUGUAGGUGGUGAGAGAAAUAGGGAGAAAUUGAUUUUAAUGCUUCCAAAAAUUCUUCACUGUGUCAGUAAUUUCCUUGUCCAGCGAUGGUCUGCAUUCACAAGAAACAUAAUUUCCAUUGUAUCACUGCACUGUCAGUGUGGGUGUUGUGGUGUGUUGCAAUGUCCUGUUUUAAACUUCCGAGUCCCUUCCCAGGUGUGCCUAUGCCUCUCUCCCUGCCCCCUCGCCCCCUUGCUGAGUGUGCCCUGUCAAUCAGGCUAACAUACCAGCAAGGUGUCGUGUGAUUCGUCGAUUUCAAAGGAUGCUUCUCAGGCCUGGGGGUCAUUGGCCUGUCUAAGUGUCAUCCUCCCUUGAGACCCUGCCCCCUUCACCUGGUUGGUAACUCACCUGUCCCCUCCCCUUCCCCUGUCCCCGAGCUUAUAAAGUUAAUGAGACCAUGCGGCCGGCAUUCUGUUACCAGCAGUAGCCCAGUGCAGACAUAUCUGUACUCAUGGAAUAAACUUCUGGCUACCUUCUAGCA
rnacentral:lncRNA from 1 species